rnacentral:rRNA from 1 species
GUGGGGAAUCUUCCGCAAUGGACGAAAGUCUGACGGAGCAACGCCGCGUGAGUGAAGAAGGUUUUCGGAUCGUAAAGCUCUUUCGUUAGGGACGAACGUGCUCUUUGUGAAUAAUGAGGAGUAAUGACGGUACCUAAAUAAGAAGCCACGGCUAACUACGUGCCAGCAGCCGCGGUAAUACGUAGGUGGCAAGCGUUGUCCGGAAUUAUUGGGCGUAAAGCGCGCGCAGGCGGGAUAUCAAGUCUGUCUUAAAAGUGCGAGGCUCAACCUCGUGAGGGGACAGAAACUGGUAUUCUUGAGUGUCGGAGAGGAAAGUGGAAGUCCAAGUGUAGCGGUGAAAUGCGUAGAGAUUUGGAAGAACACCAGUGGCGAAGGCGACUUUCUGGACGAUGUCUGACGCUGAGGCGCGAAAGCUAGGGGAGCGAACGGGAUUAGAUACCCUAGUAGUCC